rnacentral:lncRNA from 1 species
CUCAUCGCUGUCUUCCCCUUCAUAAGAGCCUGGCUCAACAUUAACAACAUUCUCCCCACCUUGGGCAAGUUAUUAAUGUCUCCCAUUAUAUCUGAUUUCAAGCAAAUCCAUUGGUAAGAAAAUUGUUUCUUAAAAAAAAAGUCCUCUGCUCUUCACAGGAAACUUCAGAGUGCACCCUACGCCUGCUAACCUUCCUGGCCCUGAGCAACCAGAGACACUGAAACGAGAAGCGACUCAGAGCCAGCUGAAUCUGGAGCGCUCUAAGAGCCGGAUGGGGACAUUUGUUGAUGCCGGACCGAUGGCUGAGGCCUCCGCAGAUGAGGGGACAUCCUCAGACAUGCCAGACAUCUUGUCCAGACGAAAGUUCAAGCAGACCCUCCCUGAUCCAGACCUCCCGUAAAUUGGUUAUAUAGCAG